rnacentral:rRNA from 1 species
AACGUAGGUGGCAAGCGUUAUCCGGAUUCACUGGGCGUAAAGGGCACGCAGGCGGCCUGGCCGGUAGGGCAUGAAAUCUCCUGGCUUAACUGGGAGGGGUUGUCCUAUACCGCCGGGCUUGAGGAGAGGGGCGUGGAAUUGCCGGUGUAGUGGUGAAAUGCGUAGAGAUCGGCAGGAACACCCGUGGCGAAAGCGGCGCUCUGGCCUCUUCCUGACGCUCAGGUGCGAAAGCUAGGGGAGCGAACGGG